ACUACACUCUCUACCCUUUGUGAACUAUUAUACCUGUUGCUUCGGCGGCGCCCGCAAGGGUGCCCGCCGGUCUCAUCAGAAUCUCUGUUUUCGAACCCGACGAUACUUCUGAGUGUUCUUAGCGAACUGUCAAAACUUUUAACAACGGAUCUCUUGGCUCCAGCAUCGAUGAAGAACGCAGCGAAACGCGAUAUGUAAUGUGAAUUGCAGAAUUCAGUGAAUCAUCGAAUCUUUGAACGCACAUGGCGCCUUCCAGUAUCCUGGGAGGCAUGCCUGUCCGAGCGUCGUUUCAACCCUCGAGCCCCUGUGGCCCGGCGUUGGGGAUCUGCCACGGCAGGCCCCUAAAACCAGUGGCGGACCCGAAGGGCCCUCUCCUUUGCGCAGUAGCAUUCGCCUCGCAUUGGGAGUCCUCGGCGUCCUGCCUCUAAACCCCCCACAAGUCCGCUUCGGCGGCACCAAGGUUGACCUCGGAUCAGGUAGGAAUACCCGCUGAACUUAAGCAUAUCAAUAAGCGGAGGA
rnacentral:rRNA from 1 species